UACGGGGGGGGGCAAGCGUUUGUUCGGAAUUACUGGGCGUAAAGGGCUCGUAGGCGGCCAACUAAGUCAGACGUGAAAUCCCCAGGCUCAACCUGGGAACUGCGUCUGAUACUGGAUGGCUUGAAUCCGGGAGAGGGAUGCAGAAUUCCAGGUGUAGCGGUGAAAUGCGUAGAUAUCUGGAGGAAUACCGGUGGCGAAGGCGGCAUCCUGGACCGGCAUUGACGCUGAGGCGCGAAAGCCAGGGGAGCAAACGGG
rnacentral:rRNA from 1 species